CACAGCUGCAUGCUUAGAGUGCUGGUGUGUUGCAAUUUAUUCAUCAAUUUUUACAGUUAUCAGAAUUCUUUAGGAACUAUCACAGAGCCAAGACCAAAGGAAGAAAUGUCAAAUUGGAAAACACCAAAAGAAAAUAUGAUAUGUCUUGAAGAAAAUGGAUUCUGUGUCCUUGGAUACGUGUAUUCAGAAUACUCUGUCAACACUCUAUCCCCCCUUUGAGGCCACAGCAUCCACUGUUCUCUGUCAGGUUUUUGAUGUCGUGGAGAAAACAUAUUGUGGUGAUGGAUUGUGCUACCUUAUUGAUUCCUCGUCCCUGCUAAACACAUUCUGCAGUGCAUCCAGCAGGACGCUUGUCUCAGUACUGAGAAAGCAGUGCCCUGUUAGAAGAUUUAGAAGUUACAUUGAAGAUUCAUGUGCCCUCUUGGGUGGAGACCAAUGUAGCAAAAGACCAACGAAAGAAUCCAGAUCAGCGAUAUGAUUGUCAACUUGGUUUGAUGCACAAGGGAAGUGGAGAAAAAUGGCAAAGGAGAGGAGCAAUCUCAAUCUUUCGACUAUAAAGUCCAGCAGCAUCUUGCACUACUUGGCAGUGAAGAGCAAAGCACAGCACAGGAACAAAGAAGGAAUUUCAAAAUAACAAAAAAGGAAAAGGGCCCGAAGCAAAAGUUUGGGCACCCUGCAUGGCAGUACUUAGUAACACCAACUUUGGCAAGUAUCACAGCUUGUAAAUGCUUUUUACAGCCAGCUAAGAGUCUUUCAAUUCUUGCUUGGGGCGAUUUUCGCCCAUUCUUCCUUGCAAAAAGCUUCUAGUUCUGUGAGAUUGUUGGGCCGUCUUGCAUGCACUGCUCUUUUGAGGUCUAUCCACAGAUUCUUGAUGAUGUUUAGAUGAGGGGACUGUGAGGGCCAUGGCAAAACCUUCAGCCUGCGCCUCUUGAGGUCGUCCAUUAUGGAUUUUGAGGUGUGUUUAGGUUCAUUAUCCUGUUGUGGAACCCAUCCACUUUUUUUCUUUGGCUAUUUUACAUUAAAGACGGUGUGAUGUUUGCUUCAGAAUUUGAUACAAUAUGUGAGGUCCAGUUUGCUGUCAAGUUGAACUGACCCUGUGACAAAUUUGGAUGUUUGAUGGAGUGACGUUGUGAACUUCUUUGAAAAUGAAAAUCAACCAUAGUUUAAUACGUCAGUUUUUAAGUGGUUCCCAUUGAAGGUUAGAGAGCAUGUUGGUGACACUGGAUUUCCUGCUGUAAUCGUUUAACACAAAGCGAGCAGCACGGCGUUGGAUUGUUUCGAUGGACUUCUUAUUGUUACCUUAAUGGGGAUCCCAUAUGGCUGCGCAAUACUCGAGCUUUGGAUGGAUGAGUGUCUUAUAUGCCAUGUCCUUGA